CAGGCCUAACACAUGCAAGUCGAGCGAAGCCUUCGGGCUUAGCGGCGGACGGGUUAGUAACGCGUGGGAACGUGCCCUUCACUACGGAAUAGUCCCGGGAAACUGGGUUUAAUACCGUAUACGCCCUUCGGGGGAAAGAUUUAUCGGUGAAGGAUCGGCCCGCGUCUGAUUAGAUAGUUGGUGGGGUAACGGCCUACCAAGUCUACGAUCAGUAGCUGGUUUGAGAGGAUGAUCAGCAACACUGGGACUGAGACACGGCCCAGACUCCUACGGGAGGCAGCAGUGGGGAAUCUUAGACAAUGGGCGCAAGCCUGAUCUAGCCAUGCCGCGUGAGUGAUGAAGGCCUUGGGGUCGUAAAGCUCUUUCGCCAGGGAUGAUAAUGACAGUACCUGGUAAAGAAACCCCGGCUAACUCCGUGCCAGCAGCCGCGGUAAUACGGAGGGGGUUAGCGUUGUUCGGAAUUACUGGGCGUAAAGCGCGCGUAGGCGGAUUAGUCAGUCAGAGGUGAAAUCCCAGGGCUCAACCCUGGAACUGCCUUUGAUACUGCUAGUCUUGAGUUCGAGAGAGGUGAGUGGAAUUCCGAGUGUAGAGGUGAAAUUCGUAGAUAUUCGGAGGAACACCAGUGGCGAAGGCGGCUCACUGGCUCGAU
rnacentral:rRNA from 1 species